rnacentral:rRNA from 1 species
GAUGAACGCUGGCGGCGUGCCUAAUACAUGCAAGUCGAACGCGCAGCGAAAGGUGCUUGCACCUUUCAAGCGAGUGGCGAACGGGUGAGUAACACGUGGAUAACCUGCCUCAAGGCUGGGGAUAACAUUUGGAAACAGAUGCUAAUACCGAAUAAAACUUAGUAUCGCAUGAUACAAAGUUAAAAGGCGCUACAGCGUCACCUAGAGAUGGAUCCGCGGUGCAUUAGUUAGUUGGUGGGGUAAAGGCUUACCAAGACGAUGAUGCAUAGCCGAGUUGAGAGACUGAUCGGCCACAUUGGUACUGAGACACGGCCCAAACUCCUACGGGAGGCUGCAGUAGGGAAUCUGCCACAAUGGGCGCAAGCCUGAUGGAGCAACGCCGCUGGUGUGAUGAAGGCUUUCGGGUCGUAAAGCACUGUUGUAUGGGAAGAAAUGCUAAAAUAGGGAAUGAUUUUAGUUUGACGGUACCAUACCAGAAAGGGACGGCUAAAUACGUGCCAGCAGCCGCCGUAA